rnacentral:rRNA from 1 species
GUGUCAGCCGCCGCGGUAAUACGGAGGGUGCGAGCGUUAAUCGGAAUUACUGGGCGUAAAGCGCGCGUAGGCGGUUUGAUAAGUCUGAUGUGAAAGCCCUGGGCUUAACCUGGGAACUGCAUUGGAUACUGUCCGACUGGAGUGUGGUAGAGGGGUGUGGAAUUUCCGGUGUAGCAGUGAAAUGCGUAGAGAUCGGAAGGAACACCAGUGGCGAAGGCGGCACCCUGGACCAACACUGACGCUGAGGUGCGAAAGCGUGGGGAGCAAACAGGAUUAGAUACCCGUGUAGUCC